CCUACGAGGGGCAGCAGUGGGGAAUAUUGGACAAUGGGGGGAACCCUGAUCCAGCCAUGCCGCGUGUGUGAAGAAGGCCCUCGGGUUGUAAAGCACUUUCAGUGAGGAAGAACGCCUGGUGGUUAAUACCCAUCAGGAAAGACAUCACUCACAGAAGAAGCACCGGCUAACUCCGUGCCAGCAGCCGCGGUAAUACGGAGGGUGCGAGCGUUAAUCGGAAUUACUGGGCGUAAAGCGCGCGUAGGUGGCUUGAUAAGCCGGUUGUGAAAGCCCCGGGCUCAACCUGGGAACGGCAUCCGGAACUGUCAAGCUAGAGUGCAGGAGAGGAAGGUAGAAUUCCCGGUGUAGCGGUGAAAUGCGUAGAGAUCGGGAGGAAUACCAGUGGCGAAGGCGGCCUUCUGGACUGACACUGACACUGAGGUGCGAAAGCGUGGGUAGCAAACAGGAUUAGAUACCCUUGUAGUC
rnacentral:rRNA from 1 species